rnacentral:lncRNA from 1 species
UGGCGGAACUCGACAGGUUCUUGUUCUCACCGGAUUGGGAUGAUCUUUUCCCUUAUGCCAUUUAGAUUGCACUCCCCAAACCAUGUUCUAACCACACCCCUAUUGAGCUCUCGUUUGCUACUCCAAGAACCUAGAGACCAUUCAGAUUUGAUCGAAUUUGGCUUAGGCAAAAUGACCUUGUAGAGGUAGUUGCCUGUCUGU